rnacentral:tRNA from 1 species
GCGGAGGAUGCCAUCGGCCUGUUGCAGCCGUAGCCCGGGUUCGACUCCCGGCGAUCCGCA